rnacentral:lncRNA from 1 species
CCUCCCUGAGCCGCUGACCCCCCUCCCUGAGCCGCUGACCCCCUCCCUGAGCCGCUAGCCUGCUGACCCCCUCCCUGAGCCGCUAGCCCGCUGACCAUGCAGCUAUUGCUCCAGGCUACAAACAGCUGCCGCUCCGCUCGUCUCCCUGAAUUCAACACGGUACAUUCAUUCAUUUUAGAAAGAAGAACACACUAACAUUUUGACAAGUCAUUUUAAAUGUUUUUAAAUCUGCAACAACAGAACAUCUGAAAUGGGCAUCUGAAAUGGGUACACAACAGAACAUCUGAAAUGGGUACCCAACAGAACAUCUGAAAUGGGUACCCAACAGAACAUCUGAAAUGGGCAUCUGAAAUGGGUACACAACAGAACAUCUGAAAUGGGUACACAACAGAACAACAGAACAUCUGAAAUGGGUACACAACAGAACAACAGAACAUCUGAAAUGGGUACACGACAGAACAUCUGAAAUGGGUACCCAACAGAACAACAGAACAUCUGAAAUGGGUACCCAACAGAACAUCUGAAAUGGGUACACAACAGAACAUCUGAAAUGGGUACACAACAGAACAACAGAACAUCUGAAAUGGGUACACGACAGAACAUCUGAAAUGGGUACCCAACAGAACAACAGAACAUCUGAAAUGGGUACCCAACAGAACAUCUGAAAUGGGUACCCAACAGAACAUCUGAAAUGGGUACACAACAGAACAUCUGAAAUGGGUACCCAACAGAACAUCUGAAAUGGGUACCCAACAGAACAUCUGAAAUGGGUACCCAACAGAACAUCUGAAAUGGGCAUCUGAAAUGGGUACACAACAGAACAUCUGAAAUGGGUACACAACAGAACAACAGAACAUCUGAAAUGGGUACACGACAGAACAUCUGAAAUGGGUACCCAACAGAACAACAGAACAUCUGAAAUGGGUACCCAACAGAACAUCUGAAAUGGGUACACAACAGAACAUCUGAAAUGGGUACCCAACAGAACAUCUGAAAUGGGUACACAACAGAACAUCUGAAAUGGGUACCCAACAGAACAUCUGAAAUGGGUACCCAACAGAACAUCUGAAAUGGGUACCCGACAGAACAUCUGAAAUGGGUACCCAACAGAACAGAACAUCUGAAAUGGGUACACGACAGAACAUCUGAAAUGGGUACCCAACAGAACAGAACAUCUGAAAUGGGUACCCAACAGAACAUCUGAAAUGGGUACCCAACAGAACAGAACAUCUGAAAUGGGUACCCAACAGAACAGAACAUCUGAAAUGGGUACCCAACAGAACAUCUGAAAUGGGUACACAACAGAACAUCUGAAAUGGGUACCCAACAGAACAUCUGAAAUGGGUACACAACAGAACAUCUGAAAUGGGUACACAACAGAACAGUGUAGAUCCAAAAGCUGAACUCCAAAGGCACAUCUGACAAAGAUGCUGCUUGUCUUCUCUCCACUGUGAGCAGAUGGAAGGGUGCUCUGCUGACUGGCUGGCUGGCUGGCUGGCUGGCUGGCUGGCUGGCUGCAUGUUACAGAGCAUUAGACUGCUGAUUACUGCAGAUGGAAGGGUGCUCCACUGGCUGGCUGGCUGGCUGACUGGCUGGCUGGCUGCAUGUUACAGAGCAUUAUACUUCUGAUUACUGCAGAUGGAAGGGUGCUCUGCUGGCUGGCUGGCUGACUGGCUGGGGCAUUUUCAUAACUUCUGGUCAUUUCUUCAAAAGACAAAUGUUUUUACACAAUUACUUUGCAUUUACCUUGAAUUGCAGUACUGUAUAAUACCCAUUUAGUAUUGUGCACAUUGUAAGUUGCUUCAUUCAUCAUUGUUUUCAUACACAGAACUGAGGCAACUUCCAAAACUAGCAUUGUAUUUCUAGACAGAGAAUGGAUGGUAAAGACUCCUUGAACCCCCAGAGGAAAUAGUUUUUUUUUUGGAUUGUUAUACACUUGGUUAAUAUUCUGAUAUGCAGCAUGCGUUAAUCUACUUUAAUAUCAGGAUGGUAAAAGCUGUAAUACAAAGUGUUGUUUUUCUGAAUAGCAUCUGGGGCUAACGCUAGCCCAGUCAAUUCAAGUCGUUAUGUCUCCUAGCUUGGAAUUCAUUGUCCCCCUUCCCCAUUUUUUUUUUUAAAUUUCUAACCCGGGUACAAAUCAACCUCUAUUGGCCAGUCAAACCGCCUGGAAAAGUAGUCAUACAUUGUUAUGGGUGUUAUCUGUCUUUUUUUUUAUUUUAAUGGUUCUGCCAGCCUGGAGAAUGGACCUGGACGCAGCACACGGACCCAGAAGGGGAAUGCUUGAAAGAUAUCUUGUACAUUGGACCUAUGAAUCAAUGUUUUAAAAGCUAAAUAGUUCACAGCAUUUCAACAUUUACUUGCCAGUCAACUAAAGCUAAAACACUUCCAGGUUGUGUGUGUGUGUGUGUGUGUGUGUGUGUGUGUGUGUGUGUGUGUGUGUGUGUGUGUGUGUGUGUGUGUGUGUGUGUGUGUGUGUGUGUGUGUGUGUGUGUGUGUGUGUGUGAGAGAGAGAGGGGGAGAGAGAGAGAGGGAGAGAGAGAUACCUAGUAACAGUAGGUAGAGAUGUGAUAUUAUAAAAGGUAUUUGGAGAGAGAGAGAGAGAGAGAGAGAGAGAGAGAGAGAGAGAGGGAGAGAGAGAUACCUAGUAACAGUAGGUAGAGAUGUGAUAUUAUAAAAGAGAGAGAGAGAGAGAGAGAGAGAGAGAGAGAGAGAGAGAGAGAGAAUGGUCUGGUAGAGAGAGAGAGAGAGAGAGAGAGACCUAGUAACAGUAGGUAGAGACGUGAUAUUAUACCGAGAGAACUUGAGAGAAAGAAAGAGGUGGGUUUUGGGUCCAUAACGCUCCCCAGUACGUUCAGCAGCUUCUGAGUCGUGUUGUCCAACGUUGCAUAGAUCCUGUCUGUUACGUCGGGACGCUUCGGCGUACGACAGGAAGGUGCACGCCAGAACGAAGGGGUCGAGUUCGAGAACAUCAUCAAAACAACGCGAUGUAAUCAUGGGUAAAUUAAGACUUGACCUACCAAAAUAAUAUUUAGUCUUUAUUUAUGACGGAAAGGUGAUUUUUCCAGUCUGGAUUCGUUUUUAAAGUCGGCUUGCGAUGUUGAUAGGCGUCUUACGACCGUCCCAUUAUGGCGCCUUAUUCCCUCCAUAGUGCACUAGGUAAAUAGGGGCCUAUUUGGGACGUGCUCCAGCAGGGCCAGACGAGGUCAGAUGUACUUGUUGGCCAGGUUCUGCACGUCGUUCUUACUGAAGGCAUCACUGUCCACGGCGGACAGACGGUCAAACAGUCGAGUCAUCUGAUCACGUUCACUCUUCUCCAGGAGCAUCACGACGACCUGUUAAUACACAGAGACAGAG